AAAUUGAAGAGUUUGAUCAUGGCUCAGAUUGAACGCUGGCGGCAGGCCUAACACAUGCAAGUCGAACGGUAACAGGAAGCAGCUUGCUGCUUUGCUGACGAGUGGCGGACGGGUGAGUAAUGUCUGGGAAACUGCCUGAUGGAGGGGGAUAACUACUGGAAACGGUGGCUAAUACCGCAUAACGUCGCAAGACCAAAGAGGGGGACCUUCGGGCCUCUUGCCAUCAGAUGUGCCCAGAUGGGAUUAGCUAGU
rnacentral:rRNA from 2 species